UAGAGUGUCCACGUAGGCACAAAAAAUCAACCAAUGAAAAACUGCGUUUUUGCCACGUCACACCUUUGUUUUGUCGACAAAGAAUACAACUAAUUUGGGCUGAACAAAAUUGAAAGUGGCCCUGUAAAUAACAACCCAUCUCUUUCUCGAACAUUUUACCCUUCUACUCCGACUCUUCCAAUUCACUAUAUAACUACCUCUUUCGUGUUUCAAAAAAAAAAAAAACUACCCCUUUCAUAUUCUUUCUUUCUCUGCCGAGUCAUCUCCUUCUGAAACUCGAUCUGAUCACUGAGAAUCUACGACGACGAAGAAGGUGGAGGAGGAAGAGGAAGAAUGAGAAUCUCAGGCUACGUAAUCGUUGUUCUAUCUGUAACUGUAUUCUAUUGCGUCGAUCGUAGCGUUCACGCGCGUCCCGUCGUCCUCUUCCUCUCCAACGACGAUCUCAACAGCGGCGGCGACGAUCCCGGAGUCGGAGACUCCUCUAACUUCGACGAAUUCGGCGAAUCCGAACCCAAAUCCGAAGAGGAGCUCGAUCCCGGCUCGUGGCGACGGAACUUUCGAUAGGUUGACGGAGGAAGCGGUGGAAGAGAUAGAGGCGGCUUCUUCAUCCGGAGAUCCGCACUCGCAGUCGCUACGGGACGGGGAUGAUGAGGGAGAAAAGCGAAAGCAAAUCCUUCCUUCACCAUAACUUUGCUGCUGAAGGUGGGAACAUGCAGUCAAAGAUGACACUUGCCUUCACGUAUAUGCAACGAGAUAUGCAUGAUAAGGCUGUGAAACUAUAUGCUGAACUAGCAGAAACCGCUGUGAAUAGCUUCCUGAUCUCAAAGGACUCUCCCGUGGUGGAACCAACUAGGAUCCACAGCGGGACUGAAGAAAACAAAGGCGCUCUAGGGAAAUCACGAGGGGAGGAGGAUGAGGAUUUUCAGAUAUUGGAGUAUCAAGCGCAGAAAGGCAAUGCUGCGGCUAUGUACAAGAUUGGACUGUUCUACUACUUUGGUCUGCGAGGGUUAAGGUGUGAUCACACCAAGGCGUUGCACUGGUUUUCGAAGGCGGUGGAGAAAGGAGAGCCGAGGCAUAAAGUUAAAUGCAAUAAACAUUGUUUCAGUCGGUCGCUCCUCUGCUUCUGGGAUUCGCAUAACAUCAAGAAGAAUGAUGAAUUUAUGGGAAUCAGCCUCCUCUUACUAGAUGAACAGAUGUAGUUGGCCAAAUCCUUUCCGUUCAAGGCUCUGAUCUGAACAACUCUGCAGCAACAACUCGACUUGCCGUCCGUUUCCUCACUGACCCGUAAGCCAUGAAUUCAUCUUUAAAUAUUUUUGAUCCUUAUCUCAUUUAGUUCUUUCUUUCAAAUAAUUCCGUUGUGGUGUAAUGGAAUGGAAUUCACCACGGUGAAUCCAAAAAUAUUUGGAGCAACAAAAUUUUACUUUGACAACACCAUUCAUGCUACCAAAGAGUUUACAAACAGCUUUGUGGUGCUGCAGCGGAGGUCUUUCCCGAGUUGAUACCAUGGAAGGAAGAAAAAAAAAAGUUCAUAUCAAUUGGAGAACUUCACACGUUCAUUGCCAACUCCAGUGAACAGACAGAAGAAGCUGAUUUUCUCUGUAAGGCUCAGAUUGUGGGAGUCGUCCAGCAAAAUGGCUUGUCAUUUGUAUCUUGCACAGGUUGUAACAGGAAGCUCGCAAAAUCUCUCUGGUGCAACAGAUGUGUUUCUCCUAACGCACCGGGGUCAUCGGCUGUUGAUGACGGAAAGGAAAGUGCAACUUUUGUUGUCUUUGAGAGGGAGAUGAUCAAACUCAUCAAGAAAGAGGCAAAGUCUGGCUCCUGCGUAGAUACGUUUUAACUUCUUAGAUUGGUUUUAAAAUUUUUUCCCUUACUCUAAAUGCCUCCACAAACGCCAAACGCCAAGCCUACUACAGAUUAGUGGCAGUGGGAGGAAUGGAGCUACCAAAAUGUCUUGAGGAGCUAGCUGGUAAUGGAUACCUUUUCAGCUACGUGUAACUCCAUAUAAUUUCACCUCCAACCACCACACAUUCACCGUCUCUGCCAUUACUGACAACCUCUUCUUUGGCCCUCAGAGUGGCAACAGCAACAAAGCUCCAGUCGUGGAUCUCAAAUCUGGACAACCAACAGCAUUUUCCAGCUCCGCUGGUGAUGCGGCGAAGAUAGCACUAGGAAAUGAUGGAGCAAAUCAGUCAGGUUCUGCAGACUGCUGUUGACGACAAAACCCGCAAUCGCCCACGUGAGUGAUAUUAUCAAGGCUAUCAAACCGUCAACUCCACUUAGCUUUUGUCUCAUUUUAAUUUAUUAUAUCCAUAUAUUUUUCCUACUUUGAACUUUGGUUCUUUGGAUUUUCUGAAAAUUUCUCUUAAAGAAUUAAAUAAUUAAAGUAACGUUGACGUGUC